rnacentral:tRNA from 1 species
GGAUUGUAGCUCAACGGGAGAGCGCUCCCCUAGCAAGGGCAGGACCCGGGUUCAAUUCUCAGCACCA